rnacentral:tRNA from 1 species
GCUCCGUUAGUCUAGCCCGGUCAAGGAUGGUGGCCUUUCGAGCCGCAGACACGGGUUCGAAUCCCGUACGGAGCA